ACUCUUACCUGGCAAGGGAGAUGCCAGGGUCAUGAAGGUGGUUUUCCUGGGGCACUGUGGAUGUGCUAUCCCCCAUGACUUCUCCAUAAUUGGGAAACUCAGCUGCAUAAUUUGUGGUAGCAAAGGACUGAGUUUGCAUUCUUCCC
ensembl:snRNA U1 U1 spliceosomal RNA